rnacentral:misc_RNA from 1 species
AUGAAGCCUAGUGACUUAGCUAUGGCGAAAAAAAAAAGUGGUUUAUGUUUUUGUAUCGUAUUGUUGGUCUUCGUGAAUCAGGAGUGAGUGUACGAACUAUUUACAUCUUUGUUACACAUUAAUUCCAUUUUAAAAAACAAGUGCUAGAGAGAAAGAGAGGGAAGAAAUAAUUUUUUUAACAAUUUUGUAGUGGCAAGACAAGCUUGUGAGAAAGUUUUGCAGUGAACUCCCUCCGAGUGCUCUGAGUGCUUUUGGUGUCUCACUCUAUCAUUUAUAAACUUGACUCCUCGCUGUUUUAAGUUAUAGUUAUAUAGUUAUAAGUUAUAAUUUAACUAUAUAGUACAUAGAUGUAUGUAACUAAAUAUAUAGAUAUAGUUGCCAGUUGAGUGUGUAUAAUACAAAAGUAACGUCAGUGUAACAAGGCGGGAGUAAUAAAAUGUAUUUAUUAUUAUUAAUAAUGGUGGAUUUAUAAAUAAAUAUUUAUAAUUUAUAAUGGAUUUUAAGUGAUAAAUAUAUAAGUGGAGUAUAUUGUGGCAUAUAUUUUUAAUUAAAAUAGUUAUAAAAUUUUUUUUUUAAUACCAAGCUAACAAGUAUAAAUACACAUAUAUAAUUGUUGAUCGUUAUCGCGAAAUAUAUUCGCGAGGUACAAGUUCAGCUAACGGACAACAACGACGACGACGACGACGACGACGACGACGACGGGCGUCCUGAUGUUGUAACGAAACGGUCAAAAUGGAAGAACGCAGCGUUCACAGCAGUAUCAGUGAUAUAAAUAGUGAGGAGCCAGCUAAGACUGAACCAAUAAAUUUACCGAGAAAAAAAAGAAUAUGUUUAGUGGGCUUGGCCAGCACUGAUCCAGCACUAGGAACUGCUGCUCAGCAGUUUGGUGUCCCAGUUCUAAAAUCAGAAACAGGAGCUGAGUAUAUUGACGAUACUACUUAUUGUACGUACUUUGUGCUCAAGCAUUUUGAAGGAUCUGAAUAUGAAAUCUUACACAAAAGCCCUCAUAGAAUUCUCGGGCCUACGGCUCUCCUCCAAUUGGCGGACAAAAAAGAAUCUUUACCGAGUAUCAAUAGACCGAUGUACUCAAGAUCAAUGUUGGGAACCGUUGUAGUAUUUACAGGCUUUAGAAAGAAAGAUGAAUUGACCAGGCUCAUCAAUAUGAUUCACAGUAUGGGUGGUAGUAUUAGAAAAGAAAUGGGUGCUAAAGUGACUCAUUUAAUAGCUAAUUGUUGUGGUGGUGACAAAUAUAGAUAUGCUGUUACAUUUAGGGUGCCAAUAAUGUCAAUGAAUUGGGUUGUUGCACUUUGGGAUGCUAAAAAUGACGCAACACGUUAUGGAAACAAUGACGACGUGAUAAAUCAUUUUAAGUUAAAACCAUUUUUUGGUGCACGAGUAUGUUUCUUCGGAUUUCCUGAAGACGAAAAGAGACAUAUGUGUGAAGUGUUACAGCAACAAGGUGGCGAGCCCACUGAAAUUGACGAUCCUGAGUGUAGUCACGUUAUCAUCGACAUAAACAGGGACUAUCUCAUCGAGGACUAUCACCUAAAACUUCAAAAAAAAUUGAGCUCUGACUCAGAUGAAAAUUCACCUCCUUGUCACAAUAAAACAUUCACUUAUUACGAUUCACAAUCCUUUAAAUUGCACUCUAUAGGUCCCAAUGAUGAUGAUUGCGAGUCUAUUAACAGUAGAAUUAAUAGCGUCAGCUCACUGAUGACAUUAGACUCUGUUAAUUUCGAUAAAUAUCAAGACUCAGCAAUAUCUCUUGAUUUUAACUCUCGAUCUGAUUCUCCCGGUUUUGUUGACGAGCUUGAUUUCCAAAGCGAAUCAAUCCGCGCCUCUUCACCAUCAAAAUCUCCCUCGCUUGCCUAUAGAGUUAAAAAUUCACCGUCUUUAAUAAAUGAUCGGCAAUUAAUAGCUACUAGUGAUCUUAGAGCUUCAGUCAGACGUUACGUUAAAUGGAAGAAAUUUAAAUCAUGUUUUUCACUCCCGCAAAUGACGAUGAAUCAAUCGCGAUUCUCUAAAACUCAAUCAUUCAACGAAUCGUUUAAAAAAUAUCCCGAAGAGAAUUUAACAAUCGAGGAUAAAGCCAAAACAUUCCACGUUAAUCGCCAGUCUUCAUUACAAACUCAUUAUAAUAAAUAUAAUUAUCGUAGAGAUUCAUUAUUAACUUCACUGCAAGACAUUACACUCGGUCCAUCAUUUAAACACACAAUGCACAUAAAUAAUAAUAUUUGCAAUGAUUUAAAUUUAAACACUGACACAUAUAAAGUCAAUCUAAUUAAAAACAAACGAUCGUUAUCAUGUGGCUUGCUUUCUACGCAAAUUAAAAAAACUAAAUUAUCAUCAUCGGCUUCUAAUUUAUUCGAACAUUCUGAGGGCUGUAAUUCCAUUGAUAACAUACCAGAUGACUGUAAUACUGAUUCACUGAGAGAGAAAUACACCGAGCAGGAGGAUCGCCCGUUUAGGAUGGUUGUUGAUGAAUCUAAUGUCAAUACAUUACCCGACUUGACGUCAAUGCGUGCUUACAUUGUAAAAGCCGAGUGGUUUUGGACUUCGGUGCAAAAUGAAGGCGCUGCUGAUGAAAAAGAAUAUCUUUUUGAGGAUUAUCUGGAAUCAAUGCUAUCACCUAGUGCAUCAAUACGCAAAGAUAGCCAACAAGCUGCGACACCAACGACAGCAUCAACUAGAAGAAAACGCAAACGUCUUGCUGAAACAUUGUCAAGUCUGGUGCAAAAUGGUGCCGAUUCGCCGGCUGUACAUAAAAGAAGAUCCAGCAUCAGUGAUGCAGGUCAUCUGAGUGUUAGUGGGAGCUUCUUAGAUUGCACUGCGAGUCCUGAUAAGCAGAUGCUAGAUGAUAUUCCAGAAGUAGAAGCAGUAAAUACAGAAACGGCUCGUAAAAAUUUAUCGCCACGUCAUCAAGUGUUUUUGGAAUUAGUACAGACAGAAUCUAAUUACGUUGGCAUCCUUAGCACAAUAAUGACCUUGUUCAAAUCGCCUUUAGAGGAUUACAUCGAAACAAGCAACGAAUUAUUAAAUAGUACAGAGGCCAAAAUAAUAUUUGGUAAUUUUCCACCGAUAUAUGAAGUUCACAAAAAAAUGUUAGAAGAGUUACGAUAUAGUGCGGCACACUGGACUGAAGACAUAAGUAUAGGAAAUAUAUUUUUAAAAUAUGCGCCGGAUUUAAUGAAAGCGUAUCCGCCGUAUGUUAAUUUUUUUGAAAACACAAAAGAAAUGUUGGAGCAGUGCGAUCAAAAUAAACCACGAUUUCACGCAUUCUUAAAGAUAUGUCAAACAAAACCAGAGUGUGGUAGACAGAGUUUGAAAGAAUUAAUGAUAAAGCCUGUACAACGAUUACCCAGUAUUAGUUUAUUAUUAACGGAUAUUCUUAAGCACACGAAUAAAAAUAAUCCGGAUCACAGUGCUUUAGAACUGUCAAUCAGUAGUAUUAAAGAGGUAAUGACGUAUAUUAAUGAGGAUAAAAGAAAAACAGAAGGUCAAUUAGCAAUGUUUGAUAUCUUCAAUGAAAUAGACAACUGUCCGCCCCAUCUAGUCUCGUCGCAUCGUUCGUUUAUCGGUAAAUGUGAAGUUAUGGAACUGAGUGAAGGUUUAAGUGGUCGUGGCGAUCAUUUAGUUUUAUUUUUAUUCACUGAUACUCUUGAGAUAUGUAAAAAACGUUCUAAGGCUUUUAAUUCACUCAAGAGUCCUAAUACGGUCAAUGGAUUACAUGCUGUUAAACUUAAUCAGGGUAAACCAUAUAAACAUAUUAAAUUAUUGUCAUUAAGUACCAUUAAAAAAGUGGUGGACAUUCGUGAAACUGAUGAAUGUCAAAAUGUAUUUGCCCUGAUGGUUAGAAAUAAUCAAGAAUUGAAAGAAAAGCUGUACUCGUUUACAAUAACCGACGAGGAAGUAAAUAAAUGUAAUUAUUUACGGACUCUGUGCAGACAAAUGGCCAAUACAGUUUGUAAAGCCGAUGCCGAUACUUUCCUUAUAAGUCUCGAUUCACAUCAACUUGAAAUUGAUACCAGUGACGUCGCACUGGGGACAUUAAGUAAAGCAUUUAAGAGCCUAUUUCAUAAUUUUUACCUGGAGUAUAUGGAUCCGUAUGUGUUCCUACUCAAUAGCAUGUGUGAAACUACGUUACAUGUCCCAAUACCGUUUGCAUCGCGUACCAGGAUGAAAGUUGGCAGAGCAUUCAGCUUCAAUAAAACGCCGAGUAAAUUAAAAAGAGCCAUGUCCACGAUGAUGUCGCCCUUCGGAUCAACAAACAGCCUUACACCAGCGAGCCAGCAACUUGCACAAAUGCGUUUGGCAAGUUGUAAUAAUAUUAACUAUCAGGAUAAAUAUCGCCAAGUUACAAGAACUGGGCAAUGGUGGUACAGAUUCGCCGUCUAGAGAUGAAGUUCUUGUAGCUCCGAUGUCGGUUCAGCCGACCAGAAAGGCUAAGUGCAGCUCCUUGAGUAUGGCUUCAUUACGAAGAAACUGUUCAGAGGAAACGAUUCAAGAAAAAACAAACGUUUGAAUUA